rnacentral:rRNA from 1 species
UCCUACGGGAGGCAGCAGUGGGGAAUAUUGCACAAUGGGGGAAACCCUGAUGCAGCAACGCCGCGUGAGUGAUGAAGGUUUUCGGAUCGUAAAGCUCUGUCUUUGGGGAAGAUAAUGACGGUACCCAAGGAGGAAGCCACGGCUAACUACGUGCCAGCAGCCGCGGUAAUA